UACAGAGGUGGCAAGCGUUGUUCGGAAUUACUGGGCGUAAAGGGCGCGUAGGCGGUUCGUUAAGUCCUGUGUGAAAUCCCCCGGCUCAACUGGGGAACUGCACAGGAAACUAGCGGGCUUGAAUUCGGGAGAGGGAAGCGGAAUUCCGGGUGUAGCGGUGAAAUGCGUAGAUAUUCGGAGGAACACCGGUGGCGAAGGCGGCUUCCUGGACCGACACUGACGCUGAGGCGCGAAAGCUAGGGGAGCAAACGGG
rnacentral:rRNA from 1 species